GUGGGGAAUAUUGGACAAUGGGCGAAAGCCUGAUCCAGCCAUGCCGCGUGAGUGAUGAAGGCCUUAGGGUUGUAAAGCUCUUUCAGUAGGGAAGAUAAUGACGGUACCUACAGAAGAAGCCCCGGCUAACUUCGUGCCAGCAGCCGCGGUAAUACGAAGGGGGCUAGCGUUGUUCGGAAUUACUGGGCGUAAAGCGCACGUAGGCUGAUAUUUAAGUCAGGGGUGAAAUCCCGGGGCUCAACCCCGGAACUGCCUUUGAUACUGGGUAUCUUGAGUAUGGAAGAGGUCAGUGGAAUUGCGAGUGUAGAGGUGAAAUUCGUAGAUAUUCGCAGGAACACCAGUGGCGAAGGCGGCUGACUGGUCCAUUACUGACGCUGAGGUGCGAAAGCGUGGGGAGCAAACAGGAUUAGAAACCCUUGUAGUCC
rnacentral:rRNA from 1 species